rnacentral:rRNA from 1 species
AAGAGGUUCGCCUCUUCUUCUAGAAACACACCCGAACCCAUAUCGAACUCGAGCGUCUUUUUCUAGAAGGCCAUACCUACUAGUUUUUGCUGGGAACCAUGGCUUUUUUCAACCUAUU